UGCGUAGGGUGCGAGCGUUGUCCGGAAUUACUGGGCGUAAAGAGCUCGUAGGUGGUUUGUCGCGUUGUCCGUGAAAACUCACAGCUUAACUGUGGGCGUGCGGGCGAUACGGGCAGACUGGAGUACUGCAGGGGAGACUGGAAUUCCUGGUGUAGCGGUGGAAUGCGCAGAUAUCAGGAGGAACACCAGUGGCGAAGGCGACUACCUGGCCUGUUCUUGACGCUGAGGCGCGAAAGCUAGGGGAGCAAACGGG
rnacentral:rRNA from 1 species